rnacentral:rRNA from 1 species
GAGAGGAAGGUCCCCCACAUUGGAACUGAGACACGGUCCAAACUCCUACGGGAGGCAGCAGUGAGGAAUAUUGGUCAAUGGGCGAGAGCCUGAACCAGCCAAGUAGCGA